AGAUCGUUAAUGUAAUUGGCUAACAUGACAGUCUCCAAAACUGUUUAUUUAGGUUCGAGUCCUAAACGGUCUG
rnacentral:tRNA from 1 species